rnacentral:rRNA from 1 species
UGCAGAGGCCUCGAGCGUUAAUCGGAAUCACUGGGCUUAAAGGGUGCGUAGGCGGCGCUGCAAGUGCCUUGUGAAAUCCCAUCGCUUAACGAUGGAACUGCUCGGUAGACUGCAGUGCUUGAGGUUGGUAGGGGCUGCCGGAACUCUAGGUGGAGCGGUGAAAUGCGUAGAUAUCUAGAGGAACGCCCAAGGCGAAGGCAGGCAGCUGGGCCAAUUCUGACGCUGAGGCACGAAAGCGUGGGGAGCAAACGGG